rnacentral:rRNA from 1 species
GAUGAACGCGUGGCGGCGUGCUUAACACAUGCAAGUCGAACGAAGCACGUUAGGAUUGAGACUUCGGUCAAUUGAUGAAGUGACUUAGUGGCGGACGGGUGAGUAACGCGUGGGUAACCUGCCUCACACAGGGGGAUAACAGUUAGAAAUGACUGCUAAUACCGCAUAACCCGCUAGGGCCGCAUGGCCCGGACGGAAAAGAUUUAUCGGUGUGAGAUGGACCCGCGUCUGAUUAGAUAGUUGGCAGGGUAACGGCCUACCAAGUCGACGAUCAGUAGCCGGCCUGAGAGGGUGAACGGCCACAUUGGGACUGAGACACGGCCCAA